GAAGACAAGAAGGUUGCAGGCGUGGCAUUGCGAUGGGGGAGGCGGCGUUGCUGUAGCAGUAUCCAGAUUACCUAUGGAGCACAAGCGUCCUGGAGUCUGAGACGGCGUGCUUUGGAUUGUUGACAGGUAACUGGAUUGCAUUCAUUUUAACAGAGCAUGAUCAUUUGUGGAUGUGCACUUCGUAUGACAGGUUCAUGGUUUAUCCACCAAUGUCUUGCUGCUCACGGAAAUUAUCUAUCGCUGUGAAAUGGUAUGCUUUACUGAUUGGUAGUACU
rnacentral:lncRNA from 1 species